CCUACGGGAGGCAGCAGUAGGGAAUAUUGGUCAAUGGACGCAAGUCUGAACCAGCCAUGCCGCGUGCAGGAAGACGGCCUUCUGGGUUGUAAACUGCUUUUAUCAGGGAAGAAAACGCCCUUGCGAGGGAACUUGCCGGUACCUGAGGAAUAAGCACCGGCUAACUCCGUGCCAGCAGCCGCGGUAAUACGGAGGGUGCAAGCGUUGUCCGGAUUUAUUGGGUUUAAAGGGUGCGUAGGCGGCCUUUUAAGUCAGUGGUGAAAUGUAUCAGCUUAACUGAUGAAGUGCCAUUGAAACUGAAAGGCUUGAGUACAGACGAGGUAGGCGGAAUUUAUGGUGUAGCGGUGAAAUGCAUAGAUACCAUAAAGAACACCCAUAGCGAAGGCAGCUUACUAGACUGAGACUGACGCUGAGGCACGAAAGCGUGGGGAGCGAACAGGAUUAGAUACCCUGGUAGUCCACGCUGUAAACGAUGAUUACUGGAUGUGUGCGAUAGACCGUACGCGUCUGAGCGAAAGCGUUAAGUAAUCCACCUGGGGAGUACGAUCGCAAGAUUGAAACUCAAAGGAAUUGACGG
rnacentral:rRNA from 1 species